GUGUCAGCAGCCGCGGUAAUACGGAGGGUGCAAGCGUUGUCCGGAUUUAUUGGGUUUAAAGGGUGCGUAGGUGGCUCAUUAAGUCAGUGUUUAAAGUCAACAGCUCAACUGUUGGAAUGGCAUUGAUACUGAUGAGCUUGAGUAAAGUUGAGGUAGACAGAAUUGAUGGUGUAGCGGUGAAAUGCAUAGAUAUCAUCAAGAAUACCGAUUGCGAAGGCAGUUUACUAAGCUUUAACUGACACUGAGGCACGAAAGUGUGGGGAUCAAACAGGAUUAGAUACCCCAGUAGUCC
rnacentral:rRNA from 1 species